rnacentral:rRNA from 1 species
AACGCGAAGAACCUUACCUACUCUUGACAUCCUGCGAAUCUGGCUUAGUAGCUGGAGUGCCGAAAGGAGCGCAGAGACAGGUGCUGCAUGGCUGUCGUCAGCUCGUGUUGUGAGAUGUUGGGUUAAGUCCCGUAACGAGCGCAACCCUUGUCCUUAGUUGCUAGCGAGUCAAGUCGAGCACUCUAAGGAAACUGCCGGUGAUGAACCGGAGGAAGGUGGGGACGACGUCAAGUCAUCAUGGCCUUUAUGAGUAGGGCUACACACGUGCUACAAUGGGGCGUACAGAGGGUAGCGAAACCGCGAGGUGGAGCCAAUCUCUUAAAGCGUCUCGUAGUCCGGAUUGGAGUCUGCAACUCGACUCCAUGAAGUUGGAAUCGCUAGUAAUCGCGGAUCAGCCAUGCCGCGGUGAAUACGUUCCCGGGCCUUGUACACACCGGAGUGC